GGAGGCGUGGCUGAGUGGUUUAAAGCAGCAUCCUGCUAAGAUGUUAGGGGAGAAAUCCCCUCGGAGGUUCGAAUCCUCCCGCCUCCGCCA
rnacentral:tRNA from 1 species